AUGCCUGGCAGUUCCCUACUCUCGCAUGGGGAGACCCCACACUACCAUCGGCGCUACGGCGUUUCACUUCUGAGUUCGGCAUGGGGUCAGGUGGGACCACCGCGCUACGGCCGCCAGGC
rnacentral:rRNA from 1 species